GGUUCGUCCUGGCGCAGACCUUUCCGUGGUCCUCGGGAUAAGUACUCUCCGAUUCAACAGGGCGUGUCAGCCACCGAUGUACUGUCGGAGACCUGAGAGCCCGCUCCCUUCCUCAGUUGGCGUCUUUUCAGUCGGACCCUGCGCCACGAUUGGCUAUGGGUCCCAGGUGGCGACUGAGAGAUGGAGAUGGGGCUUUCUGGUCACCGCGAGUAUAUUGGAAGACCUCUUCGAUGCCGAUUGGUCUCUGGCACGCUGUCGGCGGAGGAAACCAACAUGCGC
rnacentral:ribozyme from 1 species